rnacentral:misc_RNA from 1 species
GAUCAAACAAUGCCUAUGUCGACCUCAGUGACAAUAUCCAGAAUAUUUCAAUCACAAAGAACUCCCUGAGGGAAAUCAGAGGGAAGUCAGCACAGAUUGGCAGGCAUCAUGUGCCAUUACUUGUUCAUUAGAAUUCAUCACUUGUGAGACAGAACCAUGACAUAAUCUUCACAUAUUUCACCAUCCAAAGACAUUCAUCUCGUCCGAUAUUGGAAGAAGCU